UACGUCUUCCGAUGCAGGCUAGCCAGCCGCGGUCGCCUUCCCGCCUAGACCAGCCCGGCCCGGGGGCAGCCCCGUCAUUUCAGCCUCCCUCCCCAUGCUGUACCGCCGCUGCCGCAGAUCUAGGCGCCCUAUUUAAUUUCGUCUAAGCCAGCCGCUCAGUGUUGGGGGAGGGAAAGGGAAGCCGGACCAGUUCGUUCGUUCGUUCGUUCCGGCCGUGUGGAUUGGACGUUUCAAAACAAGAAAUCGCAAGCUUAGCUACACAGAGAAAGGCCACCAGUAGUUAUUAUUAUAUAGAGAGAAAGGAAGGAGCUGCACCGUCUUGAGACCUUUGAGAGUGUGUGUCGAGCGGAGGAAGACGAGGAGGCAGCCAGGUGAGGCCGGCGAAGCUCGCAGCCAGCUCUCGUGCUUGCCUUGGUGACAUUCAUCGAGCUCUCGUCCAUGCCGCUUUGGCGGUGUCUCGCCUGCCCGCCCUCUGCUGCGUGCAUGUGCGUAUGAUCUUUCGGUCUAAAGCCAGGAGGUAGCAGGCAGCCGGGGGCACGGCGCAUCGCAUGGAGGAGAGAGUGAAAAGAGGAAGAGCAGGAGAAGGUGAGGGCGAAGAAGCGAGCCUAACGGAAAGGAGCCUUGGGGCGGGCCCACCGGCCCUGAGGUGAGGGGAAGGGAGGGAGGGGUGGGAGGAGGAGGAGGCGGAGGAUCUCCUCUCACGUCAAAGGUGGGGGAAAGCAUAAAGGAGGAAGGAGGAAGAGAAGGUGGUGGAGAGGAGAAAGCCAGCUGCUUCACUGAGUGAGCAAGGAUAGAGUGUGAGUGAGUGUGGGAGUGAGCGAGUGACACCUCUCCCCCUAUGUAGAGCUGUAGAGCGUGAGCUUGAGGGCAUCCUGUUCUUCCACCACCAUUUCGUCGCCCAGCCACUACAGUCGGUCGGCGUGCUGGUGGAGUUGAAGAGGAGGAGACGCCAUGGCAUUGCAGGAGCAGGAAGAAGACGAAGAUGAAGGAGAAGACGGCGAGGAAGAUGGGAUCAUGACGAGGAGGGUGCUGUGGUGGGGGAGGAGCUGCUGCUGAUUUCCUCCCCUGUCUGACCCGAGGCGCGCUGCCUGCUCCGGAGUAGUAGUAAGAUAUUGGCACAAUAGGCUCAAUCACUUUUUCUUUCCCCUUGUUUUGCUGUUUUUGCGCUCCUUUCCCCGUUCAGUCCAUUGAUGAUUCCAUACUCUUCCCCCUGUAAUUUCUUUUCCCCCCGCUGCCCCUUUUGAUCUGUUGUUCUUGGUGGUUUCCCCGAUUCGGAACGGAAAAGGCUUUGGCAAACGCAAAA